rnacentral:rRNA from 1 species
AUUGAACGCUGGCGGCAGGCCUAACACAUGCAAGUCGAACGAGUGGCGGACGGGUGAGUAAUGUAUGGGCAUCUGCCUGAUGGAGGGGGAUAACUACUGGAAACGGUAGCUAAUCCCGCCUACCAUCAGAUGGACCCAUAUGGGAUUAGCUUGUAGGUGGGGUAACGGCUCACCUAGGCGACGAUCCCUAGCUGGUCUGAGAGGAUGACCAGCCAAACUGGGAGUGAGACACGGGCCAGACUCCUACGGGAGGCAGCAGUGGGGAAUAUUGCACAAUGGGCGCAAGCCUGAUGCAGCCAUGCCGCGUGUAUGAAGAAGGCCUUCGGGUUGUAAAGUACUUUCAGCGGGGAGGCGUUACCCACAGAAGAAGCACCGGCUAACUCCGUGCCAGCAGCCGCGGUAAUUC